AUUGAACGCUGGCGGCAGGCCUAACACAUGCAAGUCGAGCGCGCGGCGGACGGGUGAGUAAUGUCUGGGAACCUUCCUGAUGGAGGGGGAUAACUACUGGAAACGGUAGCUAAUACCGCAUACCAUCAGAUGUGCCCAGAUGGGAUUAGCUAGUAGGUGGGGUAAUGGCUCACCUAGGCGACGAUCCCUAGCUGGUCUGAGAGGAUGACCAGCGCCACUGGAGCUGAGACACGGUCCAGAGUCCUACGGGAGGCAGCAGUGGGGAAUAUUGCACAAGGGGCGCAAGCGUGAUGCAGCCAGGCGGCGUGUGUGAAGAAGGACUUCGGGUUGUAAAGCACUUUCAGCGGGGAGGCGUUACCCGCAGAAGAAGCAACGGCUAACUCCGUGCCAGCAGCUGCGGUAAUAC
rnacentral:rRNA from 1 species